UACGGGGGGAGCAAGCGUUGUUCGGAUUUACUGGGCGUAAAGGGCGCGUAGGCGGCGCGACAAGUCACUUGUGAAAUCUCUGGGCUCAACCCAGAACGGUCAAGUGAUACUGUCGUGCUAGAGUGCGGAAGGGGCAGCUGGAAUUCUUGGUGUAGCGGUGAAAUGCGUAGAUAUCAAGAGGAACACCUGCGGCGAAGGCGGGUUGCUGGGCCGACACUGACGCUGAGGCGCGAAAGCUAGGGGAGCGAACGGG
rnacentral:rRNA from 1 species